GAUCCUGGCUCAGGAUGAACGCUAGCUACAGGCUUAACACAUGCAAGUCGAGGGGAAACGAUAGAGAAAGCUUGCUUUUUCUAGGCGUCGACCGGCGCACGGGUGAGUAACGCGUAUCCAACCUGCCCAUCACUUGGGGAUAACCUUGCGAAAGUAAGACUAAUACCCAAUGACGUCUCUAGAAGACAUCUGAAGGAGAUUAAAGAUUUAUCGGUGAUGGAUGGGGAUGCGUCUGAUUAGCUUGUUGGCGGGGUAACGGCCCACCAAGGCGACGAUCAGUAGGGGUUCUGAGAGGAAGGUCCCCCACAUUGGAACUGAGACACGGUCCAAACUCCUACGGGAGGCAGCAGUGAGGAAUAUUGGUCAAUGGACGAGAGUCUGAACCAGCCAAGUAGCGUGCAGGAUGACGGCCCUAUGGGUUGUAAACUGCUUUUAUAAGGGAAUAAAGUGGGAGUCGUGACUCUUUUUGCAUGUACCUUAUGAAUAAGGACCGGCUAAUUCCGUG
rnacentral:rRNA from 1 species